rnacentral:rRNA from 1 species
AGUUUGAUCCUGGCUCAGGACGAACGCUGGCGGCGCGCCUAACACAUGCAAGUCGAACGGAGCUGAGAGGAGCUUGCUUUUCUUAGCUUAGUGGCGAACGGGUGAGUAACGCGUGAGUAACCUGCCCGGGAGUGGGCAACAGUGGAAACGUUUUUAUCCCGCUAACCCCCGUUUCGCAGGGAAUAGGAAAAAGAUUUUUCCCUUCAGGAAGGACUCGGUCCAAUUAGUUAGUUGUGAGUUACGGCCCAACAGAGCGACGUUUGGUCCCGGAUUGGAGGUUGAACGGCCACAUUGGGAAUGAACACCGCCCCAGAUCUCUAGGGGAGCACCAGUGGGGAUUUUGCACAAUGGGGGAAACCCUUGAUGCAGCGACCCCGCGUGGAAGAAGAAGGUUUUCGGAUUGUAAACUCCUGUCGUUAGGGACGAUAAUGACGGUACCUAACAAGAAAGCACCGGCUAACUACGUGCCAGCAGCCGCGGUAAAACGUAGGGUGCAAGCGUUGUCCGGAAUUACUGGGUGUAAAGGGAGCGCAGGCGGACCGGCAAGUUGGAAGUGAAAUCCAUGGGCUCAACCCGUGAAUUGCUUUCAAAACUGCUGGCCUUGAGUAGUGCAGAGGUAGGUGGAAUUCCCGGUGUAGCGGUGGAAUGCGUAGAUAUCGGGAGGAACACCAGUGGCGAAGGCGACCUACUGGGCACCAACUGACGCUGAGGCUCGAAAGCAUGGGUAGCAAACAGGAUUAGAUACCCUGGUAGUCCAUGCCGUAAACGAUGAUUACUAGGUGUUGGAGGAUUGACCCCUUCAGUGCCGCAGUUAACACAAUAAGUAAUCCACCUGGGGAGUACGACCGCAAGGUUGAAACUCAAAGGAAUUGACGGGGGCCCGCACAAGCAGUGGAGUAUGUGGUUUAAUUCGAAGCAACGCGAAGAACCUUACCAGGUCUUGACAUCCGAUGCAUAGUGCAGAGAUGCAUGAAGUCCUUCGGGACAUCGAGACAGGUGGUGCAUGGUUGUCGUCAGCUCGUGUCGUGAGAUGUUGGGUUAAGUCCCGCAACGAGCGCAACCCUUAUUGCCAGUUACUACGAAAGAGGACUCUGGCGAGACUGCCGUUGACAAAACGGAGGAAGGUGGGGAUGACGUCAAAUCAUCAUGCCCUUUAUGACCUGGGCUACACACGUACUACAAUGGCGUUUAACAAAGAGAAGCAAGACCGCGAGGUGGAGCAAAACUCAGAAACAACGUCUCAGUUCAGAUUGCAGGCUGCAACUCGCCUGCAUGAAGUCGGAAUUGCUAGUAAUCGCGGAUCAGCAUGCCGCGGUGAAUACGUUCCCGGGCCUUGCACACACCGCCCGUC